ensembl:lncRNA
GGUCAGUCUUUGCUGUAUUUUAUUGCUCUUAAAACACAAGAGAAUAAAAACAUCUACUUUUAGUAUUUUCUGGUAACAUUUUUGCUACUAUCAGUAGUUUUUGCAUUAAAAUCUCCAUUUGUGUGGACUUCAAGGGAUUUCCAAGUUCUUUUUAGUAUGGGAUUCAGUCAACUUGAUGUUUGAUUUCUCACGUUUUAUAGGUCUACUACAUGUGAAAUGAGUUCCUCAUGUUCUGAAGUUACAAUGAUGCGUUUAUCUUUAAAUGACAGUAAUACGUAAUUAGCUGCAAGGCCGUGACUUUCCAUUCCAAGCACGAAGUUGAAAGGCUUAUCCAUUGAAACGGCUUGUUGAAAUUGCAGAUUUCCAAGAAUUCAUGUUCUGAACAACUUUAUUAUAUUUUUCUCUUCCUCCCACAGACCAGCUUUUGCAAUCACAGGAUACAGCCUUUGUGUUGUGAGAAAUGCAGUUCUUGUGGCUGAGAGGAGUUCUGGCUGUCUCAGCUGUGUGAUGGAUCUGGGGAAGGUGAUGGCAAUGUUCAUUGCUAAAGUAAAAAACAGAAGAAAAAAAAGGAGAGAGAAAACAAGGUAUGUGCAGACUCUAUUUCCAGAUUUAGGGACCUUCAGGAUUGAAAUCAGUCCCUCCAAUAUUAUGAUGUUGCCUUCAGUCUGGAUCCUUUUCAUAUUCACAUGACUGAGUGAUUUGCCAAAGCACCUCAGGGGGGUAUUUGAGAAAUCUGCUGUGCUUGCAGGAAGGGGGCAGGCAGCACCCACAUGACUGCAGAGGACUGCACUUAUCUGUGAAUCAAAGGCCUUGGCUUGGCAGAGCAUCUGCAGAGCUUGCAGGGCCCUCAGCUUUGAGCUCCCUUUGUACAGAACCACGCCAUGAAAAUGAGCUCUUCACUCCCACUUCUUUUGAUGUUGCUGGGUAACCACCACCAUGCCAUCUCCACUCUUAAAUCCUCCUUUUCCUGCCAUAUCCUCCUCCUCCUUUUCCAUAGACCCACAUACUCCUCGUAUGUGUGCUCCCCACACAUUUUGGGUGCUGGCACGAUGGUGCAAGGUGAGGGCUGCUGCUGUUGGAGCUGUUGGCUUCAAGGAGAUCAGCAAUUCCUUGUGCUUUUCUUAAAAGGCGUACAGCAGUCUCACAUCCACUCUCACAG